ACAUAUGUUUGAUAGACGGUGGUGGCGGCCACUUUGUAUCACGAAACGGAGAAGCCGUUUGCUUUUAGCCAUUGUUGGAUCAUAUCGAAUGGAGUGCCAAAGUGGACACAACUUGUGGCCGAUCUCAAGGCCGGCAAGAAGAGGAAUGAUGGCUCAAGCUCCCACCAAUCUAUUGGGUUGGACGAUGAAGAGGACGAUAUUGUCGUCGAGAAUGGGAGAGCCAUCGUGCCAAAGGAUAAGCGACAAGUCAUGGGAAACAAGUGGGAGAAGGCAAGGUCCUCCUGUGACGCCGCGGCUACAAAAAUGUCCUCCAGAUGGGCCGGCAUUUUUUCGGCGAGGGAGAACAAGAAAGAGGAGAGGUAGAAGCUCAUGUUGGAUGCGCAAAAGGAGAAGAUGGAUGGGGACCGGAAGAGGGUGGAGAAGAAGCUGGAAAUUGAGAGGGAGAAGAUCGAGUUGGAGAAGUAAGAGGCGGCGAUCAAAUGGGAGCUCGAGAAGGCUAAGAAAUUUGUUGAGAUUGAGCUUGAGAAGGAGAGGUUGCAACUCGCAUGGGACGCGGAGGAUGCGAAGAUCAUGUUGGCAGACGAAACCCUCUUGGAUGAGCAUGUAAAGAAGUGGCUUGCAGAGAAGGAGUUCAAUGAGCAUAAGGAGUACGAGGCGGCGAGGGUGGCUGCCGAGAAGGAGUUCAACGAGCACUAGUUUUUAAUUUGUUUCCAUGCUGCUUGGGAUUUUCAUCGCACAAUCCAGUUGCACCUAUAGAUCUUCAUCCCCAUUAUGUAAAACAGAAUCUAGAUCAGAUUAUAAGUUCAUUAUUGCUUAAAUAAUGGUAAUUGAUGCAGAUUUUACACUGUUUCCCACUUUGGAACCUGUUGGUACACUAGUUUUUAAUUUGUUUCCAUGCUGCUUGGGAUUUUCAUCGCACAAUCCAGUUGCACCUAUAGAUCUUCAUCCCCAUUAUGUAAAACAGAAUCUAGAUCAGAUUAUAAGUUCAUUGUUGCUUAAAUAAUGGUAAUUGAUGCAGAUUUUACACUGUUUCCUGUUGCAGCUUUUUUAGAUAAACCUGGUUAAACAAGCUUACUUUAGAAUCACAACAUUACAAACUUUUAUGCCAUAAAAACUGUCAUAGUCCCCUUAGACCUUACCGUAAUCAUGACUGAUGUUGAUGCCUAAUUCUCUACUUGCUGCUUUGUCUUGGAUCCUUGACCUGUAUGGCAUUGGUCACAAGCUUCUGUAGUCACUACGCUUUUACUAAAAUCAGUCAUUUCGCUGUCGUAUGUUGCAGUUAACCGUGAAAUCUGUACGCGACACGAAGGUGGGUGUCAUAUUUGAUCCGCAGUCUUUAAUCCAAGCUCUGACCGGUCUGAUAUCCGAGCACAUGGAUGCAUGCCUCGCGGAACCUGACCCUCUAACUGAAAACGUGACGUCUGUAUGCUGAAUCUCUGAAGGAUGCACUUUCAGCGAUGCUUCCAGACGAUUCCAGUGCCUGCUUCGGUUGCCAGUUCUACUUCCUAUUUGGCACUACUGUGGGAAAGCCAAUAGGGCAAGCUGAUUAAAACAUCUAAAUAUGUGACACUUACGACAGUCUCAGUGCAUUUGUAUCUAAUUAAGUUAUAGCUAGGUACUGUAUAACUGUCCUAGUGGCUUGUAUCUUUGUGUUGUAUCUAAAAUUGUUGAAUUGAGCAUGUCGUUUAUGAUCUACUUGGCAUUUUAACCA